rnacentral:lncRNA from 1 species
AUUACUCAAAAAGCUGUUUCCAAUAAACCUGUAAUAUUGGUUUAAGAUACAUGCUGUAUGCAGGGAGAAGCAACUUCUAAUUGAGCAGUGAAUAUAUCAACAGAUCCUGAGCUGUUCCAUACUGACAAUGGGUGUGUUUAGUGGAUCACUGUAAGAUGUUCCUUAGAGAAAUCUCCAGUGAGGCGGAAAUGGAUGUUAUUAAAACUGCUUAGGAAUACCAUCAAAAAAAAUGAAGUCUGUCUCAUUAUAAAACAAGUCUGAAUCAGGUCAAAUCAUCAUGGAGAUAUUGG